rnacentral:tRNA from 1 species
GGGCGAUUGGCUCAGUUGGUUAGAGCGCUGCCUUCACAUGGCAGAGAUCACUGGUUCGAGUCCAGUAUCGCCCACCA